rnacentral:rRNA from 1 species
CCCUUAGAUGAUUUGGGCUGCACGCGCGCUACACUGACCCUAACAAUGAGCAACUGUCUGGCCUGAGAUGGCUGGGUAGCCUUUUCAACCCAUGUCAUGAUUGGGCUAGAUUUUUGUAGGUCUUGAUCUCUAACGAGGAAUCCCUAGUAUGCGUGAAUCAUCAAUCCAUGCAGAUUAUGUCCCUGCCCUUUGUACACACCGCCCGUCGCUCCUACUGAUUGGGUGAUCCGGUGAGCUGUUCGGCCAUAGCAAUGUUUCUUGAGCAGGGCAAUGAAUGUUUCGCAAACCUUGCCACUUAGAGGAAGGAGAAGUCGUAACA